GACGAAGGAUCCAAGCGUUGUCCGGAUUUACUGGGUUUAAAGGGUGCGUAGGCGGAAAAUUAAGUCAGUGGUGAAAGACGGCAGCUUAACUGUCGAGGUGCCAUUGAUACUGAUGAGCUAGAGUACUGAUGAGGUAGGCGGAAUGGACGGUGUAGCGGUGAAAUGCAUAGAUAUCGUCCAGAACACCGAUAGCGAAGGCAGCUUACUAAGGAGUAACUGACGCUGAGGCACGAAAGUGCGGGGAUCAAACAGG
rnacentral:misc_RNA from 1 species